rnacentral:rRNA from 1 species
UACGUAGGGUGCGAGCGUUGUCCGGAUUUAUUGGGCGUAAAGAGCUUGUAGGCGGCUCGUCGCGUCGGGUGUGAAAACUUGCGGCUUAACCGCAAGCCUGCACCCGAUACGGGCGGGCUAGAGUUCGGCAGGGGAGACUGGAAUUCCUGGUGUAGCGGUAAUGCGCAGAUAUCAGGAGGAACACCGGUGGCGAAGGCGGGUCUCUGGGCCGAUACUGACGCUGAGAAGCGAAAGCGUGGGGAGCGAACAGG